CCGCUUUCAGUAGGGACGAAAUUGCGGUACCUACAGAAGAAGCCCCGGGCCAACUACGUGCCAGCAGCCGCGGUAACACGUAGGGGGCGAGCGUUGUCCGGAUUUAUUGGGCGUAAAGAGCUCGUAGCGGCUCAGUAAGUCGGGUGUGAAAACUCCGGGCUCAACCCGGAGACGCCACCCGAUACUGCUGUGGCUUGAGUCCGGUAGAGGAGCGUGGAAUUCCUGGUGUAGCGGUGAAAUGCGCAGAUAUCAGGAGGAACACCAGCGGCGAAGGCGGCGCUCUGGGCCGGAACUGACGCUGAGGAGCGAAAGCGUGGGUAGCAAACAGGAUUAGAUACCCUGGUAGUCCACGCCGUAAACGUUGGGCACUAGGUGUGGGGCGUUGUCAACACGUUCCGUGCCGAAGCUAACGCAUUAAGUGCCCCGCCUGGGGAGUACGGCCGCAAGGCUAAAACUCAAAUGAAUUGACGGGGGCCCGCACAAGCGGUGGAGCAUGUGGUUUAAUUCGAUGCAACGCGAAGAACCUUACCUACUCUUGACAUCCACGGAAGACUGCAGAGAUGCGGUUGUGCCUUCGGGAACCGUGAGACAGGUGCUGCAUGGCUGUNNNCAGCUCGUGUUGGAAAUG
rnacentral:rRNA from 1 species